ensembl:snoRNA
AAGACUAUGCUUUCAGGGAUCAUUUCUAUAGUUUCUGACUUGGAAGUUUGAUUUGAAAGUGUAACGUCUCUCUAACCACGAUGACGAGUUAAGAUGCUUUCUUCUGAGCGUGAAUUGGGUGGUGAGCGACAAGCGAGAUUGUCUGCUCUCUGUCCUUGAUGAACGUUCCUGCUGUGCUUUGCAGUCUGGAAGAAGAAAGCAUGUUCAGAGUGGUU